GCUCAUGUAGUGUAGCGGCCAAUCAUUCGGCCCUUUCGAGGCCGACACCCGGGUUCGAAUCCCGGCAUGAGCACCA
rnacentral:tRNA from 2 species